CCUGGUGGCAUGCUUCCUGUCAAUGGGGUGAUAAGGAAAAGCAGUUUUAUGUCUGCCUUAUAAGGAAUUCAGUAUUUCUCGGAAGAGUUUCUUCAGGUGCAUGGGAUACCACAAGCUGUAAAGAAUGACAUAUGCAGCGAAUGAGAACUAGAUGAGAUAGGCUUGAAGUCAAUGUACUUUUGUUUUGGACUGGUAAAGAGCUGAGCCUUCUGUACAUGCUUUGAGUAACACCAGCCAAUUUUAGUGCCAGAAGAAGUAAGUCAUGGAAGGUUUCUCCCCUGAAAGCAGAUGUCUGAUGAAUAAAACAGAGUCUGGAAAUGACAGAGCUGAUACUGACAAGGAAUGCAAUGGCAAUAACUCGGAAAGAACAGAAAGCACAAAGCAAGAGAUGUUUCUUCCGCAAUUCCCUGUUCUACAGGCUUCUGAGUGUGAACACGUUAGACUACCUGGGAAUCAAAUGAAUGGCAGCUACCAGGUACAGAAUACAGUGUCAAGUGCUUUGCGUUGUUCUUUACCUUCCCAAGAUGUGAGCUUUUAAGGGUACUUUAUUUCAAUACAGAUACUUUUAUAGGUUCUUUUGUGUCAUUAAUUAGAUGUUCCUUUUGCAAUGAGAUAGGUCAGUUAUAUCCAAGAGUGACAGGGAGGGAGAGAGAAUCCACUUCUCAUUUU
rnacentral:lncRNA from 1 species